rnacentral:rRNA from 1 species
GACGAACGCUGGCGGCGUGCUUAACACAUGCAAGUCGAACGAAGUGGCGAACGGGUGAGUAACGCGUAAUCCACCUGCCCUUCAGCGGGGGAUAACAGUUGGAAACGACUGCUAAUACCGCAUACUGAAGGAGGGGAUUGCGUCUGAUUAGCUAGUUGGAGGGGUAACGGCCCACCAAGGCGAUGAUCAGUAACCGGUCUGAGAGGAUGAACAGCCACAUUGGAACUGAGGCACGGCCCAGACUCGUACGGGAGGCAGCAGUGGGGAAUCUGCCGCAAUGGAAGAAAGUCUGACGGAGCAACGCCGCGUGAUUGAUGACGGCCUUCGGGUUGGAAAGCUCUGUUAAUCGUGACGCGUUACCGUAAUAGAAAGCCACGGCUAACUACGGGCCAGCAGCCGCGGUAAUUC